rnacentral:rRNA from 1 species
CCUACGGGAGGCAGCAGUGAGGAAUAUUGGUCAAUGGACGAGAGUCUGAACCAGCCAAGUAGCGUGAAGGAUGACUGCCCUAUGGGUUGUAAACUUCUUUUAUAUGGGAAUAAAAUGUUCCACGUGUGGGCUUUUGUAUGUACCAUAUGAAUAAAGAUCGGCUAACUCCGUGCCAGCAGCCGCGGUAAUACGGAGGAUCCGAGCGUUAUCCGGAUUUAUUGGGUUUAAAGGGAGCGUAGGUGGAUUGUUAAGUCAGUUGUGAAAGUUUUGGGCUCAACCGUAAAAUUGCAGUUGAAACUGGCAGUCUUGAGUACAGUAGAGGUGGGCGGAAUUCGUGGUGUAGCGGUGAAAUGCUUAGAUAUCACGAAGAACUCCGAUUGCGAAGGCAGCUCACUGGACUGCAACUGACACUGAGGCUCGAAAGUGUGGGUAUCAAACAGGAUUAGAUACCCGAGUAGUC